GAUUCACAUGGUGGGAGGGGCAGGAAGUAGAGGCCCAGUGAUAUACUGGUUAUGAUUACAUUUUCUGAAGUAGCUGAAACCAUCAUUGCUAUUUGCUGUAAGCAUGUCGACAUCUCCUCCUCUCCCCCCUCCCCACCCCUUUGUCUGGUCAUUGGGUUGCUGAUGUUCUUAGUUCCCUUUCCACAUAUGGCUCCCAGACCACACUCGGUCUCCCUGCCAGCAUAGUUGGGGUGGGAGGCUGAGGAGAAUGUGCAGAGAUGAUUCAAGAAAGACCCUAUGAGAUUGUCCAGUUUUUUGCAAGGCAGAUAAGGUAUUCCCUUCCCCUCACCAGAGAUGAGGAAGCAGCCGUGUCUCAUUGAGAAGUAACCCUACGGAACUUGAAUUGACUUUCUCUAUCCCCCUCUCCAGUUCUCAGCCUAGAAUUACUUCUGCCUGAAGUGUUCAUAAAGGGACAAAAAGCCACAUUUGAUAUAUUCAAAAUGUAGGUGCCCUGCAAAGACUUGGGGAAGGAUGAUGUGAAUAGAUGGAAUUGAAGCCAGUAGCCUAUGGCUUCUAAGGGUGGGUCUGGAAUAAAUAGAAAUGAAGGUAGUAUCUAGUUUUCAGAGUGGAGGAUGGGCAGGUUGUAGCCUUUCUUUACUCCAGUCAACCUUCCAAAAUCCCUCCUAAAGGGAUGCAAAAUAGAGCAGAAUUGUCCUGUAAACAUUUAGCUACUACUAUACUGAACAUGGGUGAAGGGGUGGGGUUAGGGCAUCUGUUACCUCAGCCAGUUGUAGCUGAAGAGAUUUGGGGGAGGGAGGGCAGGGUCCAACACUGCCCCAAGCCUUUUAGUUUCCAAUUUCUCUGUGUCAGCUGUGUUGCUCAGCUGUCCACUCUCCUCUAGCCCUGUCACUUAAGCUGUGACGCUGAAGGGAGAGGCUAGGUCUGCACACACCAGCUGGGGAGACGUGAGCACCAAGGGUAUUUUGGGGGUAUAAAGCCCCCCAGGCAAGAGGACAAAGCCUUCCUUUUCCAUUCCCAUCCAACACCAACACCAAGCCUCCUAACCUGGCAUCCUCUUUCCUCCACUGGCUGUGGACUGACAUAGGGAAUCCCAAACGUAAGUUGCCUUUUCCUACUAGUUGCCAGACAGUGGCUCCUUGGGUUCCCAAACCCCUCAGUCAGUUCAACUCUCCCAUUUGUCUCAACUGGCUAUUAAGUAGUUUGGGGUAUAUAGGUUCCAGUCAUUUCUUUCCCUGAAGAAAGGGCUGGGAUCAGGAAAAAGGUUGGGGAGUUAAUGUCUAGGGAAUAGAGUAGUAGAGAAGGGAGGUCAUAUUACAUUGAAACUUAAAAAUAGCCAACCCCCAAGGCAGGCUGGGACAGGGCCUGACUUGGAGGUGGUGUUAAAACCCACUCCCACCCUUAGGCUUGGAGAGAUGGGGGGAGCUGGAAUCCUCUACCUCUCUACUCCAAAGUCAGAAUCUGGGGGAGGGGGAAAAGGAAUCCAGGGAAAAGUUCUAUGGGGUCGUAUAUAACUGCCUAUAGCCUUGAAGAAAAGAGAAAGCCCCAAAAUGAGAAGUCUAUCUUGGUGGAACUUCUACAAGAGAAUGGAGAUAGCCUUUGUGUAGGCUGUCUUCUGUAGGCCCACUUGGUCAUCUCCCAAUCUGGGCCCUUUUAUGGAGUCUCCUUGUUUAGGCUCCUUUGUUUAGUCUCUCAUUCUGGAAGCGGGGGAUAGAGACCCUCUUUGUGUGUCUCUCAGCUUAAGAGCCCUGCAGUUCUCUUCCCAAGGCUCUAUUUGUCCUAGCCUACAAGGUGAGUCUCUAGGAGUAAGAAAGGGAGGGGGGAGGGGAGGCAAGGAAGGAUAAGAAUCUACAGUGGGAUCCCCACUUUUGCAGGAUGACAGAAAAAGAGGUUCUGGAUUCUCCCAAAUCCUUCACAGCAGAAACACCAAAGAGUGGGCUACAAAGGCUGAAGCAAUUAUUCAGAAAGGAGACUGUAGAAAGAAAGGAGAUGGAGCUCCCCCCUGAGCCUCAGGCCAAUGGAGAGGCAGUAGGGGCUCAAGGGGGACCCAUCUACUACAUCUAUGAGGAGGAAGAAGAGGAAGAAGAGGAGGAAGAGAAGGAGCCACCCCCUGAACCCCCUAAGCCUGUCAAUGACAAGCCCCAUAAGUUCAAAGAUCAUUUCUUCAAGAAGCCCAAAUUCUGUGAUGUCUGUGCCAGAAUGAUUGUUCUUAACAACAAAUUUGGGCUACGAUGCAAGAACUGCAAAACCAAUAUCCAUGAACACUGCCAAUCCUUUGUGGAGAUGCAGAGAUGCUUUGGCAAGAUUCCUCCUGGUUUCCGCCGUGCCUACAGUUCUCCACUCUAUAGUGACCAGCAAUAUGCCUGUGUCAAGGACCUACUCUCCAACCGAAAUGACCCUGUUUUUGAGACACUUCGAACUGGAGUGAUCAUGGCAAACAAAGAACGGAAGAAGGGACAAGCAGAUAAAAAGACCCCUCUAGCAGCCAUGAUGGAGGAGGAGCCAGAAGCCCCCAAAACUGAGGAAGGAAAACCCCAGGCUGGAAAUCCGGAGGGAGACAAGAAGACUGACAAAAAGACAGCUGAGGAUAAAAACAAGCAGCCUGGAUUCCAGCAGUCUCACUACUUUGUGGCCCUCUAUCGGUUCAAGGCUUUGGAAAAGGAUGAUCUGGACUUUCCGGCAAGAUUGGGGAGAAGGUUGGAUUUUUUCCCCAAAAUUUCAUCAUCCGAGUCAGGGCUGGUGAGCGUGUGCACCGGGUGACUAGAUCCUUUGUGGGAAACCGUGAAAUUGGGCAGAUAACGCUCAAGAAGGACCAGAUUGUGGUGCAGAAAGGGGACGAAGCUGGUGGUUAUGUCAAAGUCUACACUGGUCGGAAGGUGGGGCUAUUUCCCACCGACUUCCUGGAGGAAAUUUAGGGGUGCAGGUGCCCCAAGCAAACCAGAAUCAUAUUCAGUGCCUACUAUGUACCAGGCACUGUGUGAUUUACAAAAACAGAACGAUCCCUGCCCUCUCUUUAGGAGAGAACACUCCCUUACUCCACUUUGGGCUGAAUUGUGGGGAGGGGUGGAAGUUAGGGCAGCUCACUUCCAGGGGGUGCUAUAUUCUAAGAGGGCUGGUUCCCCCUUAAACUCGCCUCCCUCGUGUGAGACUUUCAGUACUGGGCAUGCAGCGGCACCUUACCCCCCCCACACGAACACUCCCCGGCUUCCCUGAACUUCCGCACUGGUGAUUGAUAUUGGGGAGUAGGAGGAAAGGCCUCCUUUAAGGCUGGGUAGGUCGGGAGCGGGGAGUCCAGGAGGCCAAGUUGUAGGCAGAGCCCUUAGCUCUUUAAAGUUUUGUGGGGAAAGGGCUGGAAGAAAAUUGUUUCUUUAAAUUAAGAGUCUUUUUUAAAAUCUUUGUUACAAGGCAGGACUUGCCUGAAAGGGGGGAUAGGAAUCUAUUCAGAAAUGAAGUUGUUGUAAAAACAAAGAAUCGAUUAAAAACAAUUUACAAAAA